AAGUCGUAACAAGGUAACCGUAGGUGAACCUGCGGUUGGAUCAUUAAUAAAUUUUAAAUGAAUAAAGAAGGGCCUUCCGGGGCACUUCUUUAAUUCAAACCCCCCCUUUGUGCAUUAAAAAUGUUAAUUUUUGGCAUAGGUAUACACCUGUAUAGUAAACUGAAUUUAUUUUCAGGCCUUGCCAAAAUGGAUUUUAUCCAAUUUAUAAACACCCUUUUGAAAAACUUGUCUUUAAUAUAAAAAUUGUAAUAAAAAAACAACUUUUGACAACGGAUCUCUAGGCUCUC
rnacentral:misc_RNA from 1 species